GAUGAACGCUGGCGGCGUGCCUAAUACAUGCAAGUCGAGCGAACGGACGAGAAGCUUGCUUCUCUGAUGUUAGCGGCGGGCGGGUGAGUAACACGUGGAUAACCUACCUAUAAGACUGGGAUAACUUCGGGAAACCGGAGCUAAUACCGGAUAAUAUUUUGAACCGCAUGGUUCAAAAGUGAAAGACGGUCUUGCUGUCACUUAUAGAUGGAUCCGCGCUGCAUUAGCUAGUUGGUAAGGUAACGGCUUACCAAGGCAACGAUGCAUAGCCGACCUGAGAGGAUGAUCGGCCACACUGGAACUGAGACACGGUCCAGACUCCUACGGGAGGCAGCAGUAGGGAAUCUUCCGCAAUGGGCGAAAGCCUGACGGAGCAACGCCGCGUGAGUGAUGAAGGUCUUCGGAUCGUAAAACUCUGUUAUUAGGGAAGAACAGAUGUGUAAGUAACUGUGCACAUCUUGACGGUACCUAAUCAGAAAGCCACGGCUAACUACGUG
rnacentral:rRNA from 1 species